CAGCCCCUUACCAACAAGACUGGCCUAGUUGCUCCUUUCCAAGGCCAGGGAUUUUGCCUGCAUGCGAUAAGAUGCUCCUGAGCAUUGCAAAAUAGCACAGGUAUUAGCCUGCCCUCAUCUUCACAAAGGAAUGCCACAGAAUAGCGUGAGGGGACGAAGAGGAUGAACCUAGACAGAAGCCAGCCACUAUUCUGGGUGUACAGAUAAGUGGUGCUCUGACAAGGGGUUCAGAGAAUGGGAAGGACGGCCAGUGGCACCCCUGCUGGGCCAGAUGAAGACAAGCUCACCAUGUGGUCUCAUCAUCCACAGCGCGUUCUCUACACAAAAAGCACAAGAUUACUGGCUGCCCUGUGUCUCCCUCAGCCCUCUGGUGAUGACCGUCCUGUUCUCCAUUCCGAGCUGCAAGAUGGACCUGUGGUGCAUGUGACAUCUGUAUCUGCCAAUGGACGUGCUAAGCCUGUCAGCUCCAUGGUGCUCAGCCUGUCAGUCAGCCUUGCCACGAACAGCCUGGGACCACAGCUGUCAUAAUGAUCCAACAAUAGAAAAGAACAAUCUGCUGAUCUUCUCUUAGCCUGACUGGAACUAUGGGUGUUCUUGAAACAGUAACUAUGGGUGUUCUUGAAACAGUAGUCAGCUUGUCUUUUUCAAAUGAUAUAGACCAGACACAGAACUCUCUGUCUUUACUGUUAUUCAAAUGUAUCCUCCAUUACUUCUAUUUAUUAUGAUAAUAGUGUUGAUGAUUAGAAUUAGACAACAAACAAUUUAUGGUAUUUGCAUCUGCACAACUCUGACGGUGCCUCUGUGUUAAGUUCACUCCUAAGCAUUGAUUAAUUGGCUUCUCAAGAGUAUGAAUUAGCAUGUUUGCUAAUACAGCACAUUUACAUUUUCACCGAUUCUUAAGCCAUUCUUUAUGGGCUGUCUUUUGCAUUUACAAUACAAAAGAAAACCAACUUUUAUUGACUGUUUUGUUAGGCCUUAGCUUUGGUCUUGUUCCACAUGGUCUGGUCCAGGACUCAAGUCAUCCUAGACCCACUUUCAGUCUUGGUUUGGAAAUGACUUGGACACCAAUAUAAUUCUAACAGUCAAGCAAUAGAACCUGUCACAACAUUUACAAAGUGCUGUCAGAAAAAGAAGCAAAGCAUCAAAAAUUGUUUGCUAUAAUAAACUGGGUAUUGGUAAAACCAUUAACGUC